rnacentral:rRNA from 1 species
UCCUACGGGACGCAGCAGUGAGGAAUAUUGGUCAAUGGCCGGAAGGCUGAACCAGCCAAGCCGCGUGAGGGAGGAAGGCGCAGAGCGUCGCAGACCUCUUUUGCCGGGGGACAAAAGGCCGGACUCGUCCGGUCCUGAGGGUACCCGGAGAAAAAGCAUCGGCUAACUCCGUGCCAGCAGCCGCGGUAAUACGGAGGAUGCGAGCGUUAUCCGGAUUUAUUUGGUUUAAAGGGUGCGUAGGCGGACGCUUAAGUCAGCGGUAAAAUUGCGGGGGUCAACCUCGUCGAGC